UACGGAGGGAGCUAGCGUUAUUCGGAAUUACUGGGCGUAAAGCGUACGUAGGCGGCUUUGCAAGUUAGAGGUGAAAGCCCGGGCUCAACCUCGGAAUUGCCUUCAAUACUGGCUGUCUUGAGUGUGAGAGAGGUGUGUGGAACUCCGAGUGUAGAGGUGAAAUUCGUAGAUAUUCGGAAGAACACCAGUGGCGAAGGCGACACACUGGCUCACUACUGACGCUGAGGCGCGAAAGCGUGGGGAGCGAACCGG
rnacentral:rRNA from 1 species